AACGAACGCUGGCGGCAUGCCUAACACAUGCAAGUCGAACGAGACCUUCGGGUCUAGUGGCGCACGGGUGCGUCACGCGUGGGAACCUGCCCUUAGGUUCGGAAUAACUCCCCGAAAGGGGUGCUAAUACCGGAUAAUGCCUUCGGACCAAAGAUUUAUCGCCUUUGGAUGGGCCCGCGUUGGAUUAGCUAGUUGGUAGGGUAAAAGCCUACCACGGCAACGAUGGGUAGCUGAUCUGAGAGGGUGAUCGGCCACACUGGGACUGAGACACGGCCCAGACUCCUAGGGGAGGCAGCAGGCGGGAAUCCUCAGGGAUGGGCGAAAGGGUGACGGAGGAAAGCCGCGUGAGUGAUGAAGGUCUUCGGACCGUGAAAGGGUGUUAGUAGGGAAGAUCAAAAGGGUAUGUAACCAGGGAUGUAAUGACGGUACCCGGUAAGAAAGGCACGGCUAACCACGUG
rnacentral:rRNA from 1 species